UCCGAAUUACCUAUACUAUCUCAAUAAUGAAUUUAAGCUUCAUUUAUAAAGUGUAACUUUUUUUAGAA
rnacentral:tRNA from 1 species